rnacentral:rRNA from 1 species
AGCCUGUCCUAUAAUUGAUGAUCCACGAUUAAUUUUGUUAAUUUAGUAGUUUGUAUAUCGUCGUAGUUGAAUGUCUUAUAAGAGUUUAAAAUGUUCAUUAUUUAUAAUUUAUAAAAUAAAUCAGAUCAAGAUAUAGCUUAUAAUUAAGAAGAGAUGGGUUACAAUAAAUUUUAUUUGUGGUUAAAAUAUUUAAAAUAAUUUUAUAAAUUGGAUUUGAAAGUAAUAUAUUUUAGUUAAAAUAUAUGAUUUAAGCUCUAAAAUAUGUACAUAUCGCCCGUCGCCUUCGUUAAAAAUUUAAAAUGAAAUAAGUCGUAACAUAGUAGGUGUACCGGAAGGUGUUUCUAGUUUGUUCAAAUUAUAGCUUAUUUAAAGUAUCUUAUUUACAUUAAGAAGAUAAAUUGGUUAUUCAGUUUAAUUUGAAUUGAAAAAUUUAUUUAAUUUUUAUUAUUAAUUAGGUUUUGGGUAAAAAAAAUAUUUUUAAGUUUUUUUAUUUAUUUAGAUAAAAUUAUUAAAAUUAUAGUGAAUUAGUAUAGUGAUAGAAUUAUGAAAUAUUAUGAAAAUAUUAAGUAUAUUAAAGAAAAAUUAAAUUUUUGUACCUUGUGUAUCAGGGUUAUUAAUAUAGAUUAUAAAUUUAAUUAAUUUCUCGAAUUUAAAAGAGUUAAUAAAUUAUAAAUUUUAUUGUAAAAUAAAUAUUUAAAAUAAUUUAUUAGUAAUGAAACGUUAUUCGUUUUUGAAUUUAUCUAGUUUUUUAAGAAAUAAAUUUAAUUUAGUUUAGUUAUUUUAAUUGAUAUAAUUUUUAUAUUUAAAUUAUAUAAUUAAUUAAUAUUUUAAGGGAUAAGCUUUAAAAUAAAAAAUUUAUAAAUAAAUUUUAUUUUUAUAAAAUUGUAGGAUUGGAAGUGUCUUUUAUUAAAUAGUGUGUUAUAACAAAUUUUUAUAUUAAAAAUAAUUUUUAUAUAAUUUUAAAUUUUUUAUUAAAAUUAUUUAUUUAAUAAGGUAUUAAAUGUAAUAAUGAUAAAAUUAGUAUAAUUUAAUAAUGUAUUAUUAUUUUAAAUAUAAAGGUUAAAUUAAGGAAUUCGGCAAUUAAUUUUUUCGCCUGUUUAUUAAAAACAUGUCUUUUUGAUGAUAAUUUAAAGUCUAACCUGCUCUAUGAAUUAUAUUUUUAAAUGGCCGCGGUAUUUUGACCGUGCAAAGGUAGCAUAAUAAUUAGUUUUUUAAUUGGGAACUGGUAUGAAUGGUUGGACGAGAAAAAUACUGUCUCAAUUUAAUUUAAAUUAGAAUUUUAUAUUUAAGUUAAAAAGCUUAGAUAUAUUUAAAAGACGAGAAGACCCUAUAGAGUUUUAUAUUAUAAAUUAUUUUUGAAUAUUAAAGUAUUUAAAAUUUAACUAUAAUUUUAUAGUAUUUAAGUGAUGCCAUAGAAGACAU